rnacentral:rRNA from 1 species
AGUAAAAGUCGUAACAAGGUUUCCGUAGGUGAACCUGCGGAAGGAUCAUUAUCGAGUGAACUUUGCGGGGGGGUUUAGAUGCUGGUCGUAAGGGCAUUGUGCUCGGCCCCCCCUGCUCAAACUCAUCCAACCACUGUGCAUCACUUCGAGAUUUUUAGCAGUCCUCCGGGUUUCCGGAGAAGCUUCGAUCCCUGAAAGGGGAUUUUGGCCGGGACUUGCGAAAGCUUGAUAUUCACACAAACCACACUUAUACAAAUGUCUAAUAGAAUGCAAAUUUGAUAAAAUACAACUUUCAACAACGGAUCUCUUGGCUCUCGCAUCGAUGAAGAACGCAGCGAAAUGCGAUAAGUAAUGUGAAUUGCAGAAUUCAGUGAAUCAUCGAAUCUUUGAACGCACCUUGCGCUCCUUGGUAUUCCGAGGAGCAUGCCUGUUUGAGUGUCAUGUAAUCAUCAACCCCCCCGAUGGUUUUUGCUGUCGGGUUGGGAUUGGACUUGGAGGCUGUGCCGGACUUUGUGAGUCGGCUCCUCUUGAAUGCAUUAGCUGGAAGCGAGCGGAUCGACGCGCGGUGUGAUAGUCUUAUUCACCUUCGUAUUGACCUGCAUAUAUGCACCGGCUUAUAACUUUUAAGUAGCCGU